UUUUUUUUUUUUUUUUUUUUUUUUUUUUUAAUUUUUAUUUAUUUAUGAUAGUCACAGAGAGAGAGAGAGGCACAGAGACACAGGCAGAGGGAGAAGCAGGCUCCAUGCACCGGGAGCCCGACGUGGGAUUCGAUCCCGGGUCUCCAGGAUCGCGCCCUGGGCCAAAGGCAGGCGCCAAACCGCUGCGCCACCCAGGGAUCCCGGUUUGUCUGUUUUUAAUGGUCAUCCUACUGGAUGUGGAGUGGCAUAUCAUUGUGGUUUUAAUUUGCAUUUCUCUAACAACUAAUGAUGUUGAGCAUCUUUUCAUUUUUUGGCCACUUGUACAUCUUCUUUGGAUGCAGAGUCUUUUUAAAAAAGCAAUUUCAUCAUGGCACUUCAGUACUAAAAAUUUUUAAUUACUCCCUAUUGUCUAAAUAAAAAAACGAAAAUUUCUCGGUGUGUCCUACAAGGCCCUUCAGGAUAUGGCCUCAGCUUUUUUUCUGUUCAACACCUUCUGUUACUCUCCUCCCCUGGGUUGAUGUUUUUGCCAUAUUGAACUGAGGAGAGGUAGGGGGACUGUACUUUUUGUAUCCUUUUUUGUUGACUCGGUCUCCAGUAAUGGAGGAUGCUUAACCAAAGUUAAGAGUCAUCUGAGCAGUGAAGUGAUGAGGUGGGAUCAGGACACCUGCAAGCCCUGCUGGUGUUUCCUUUCUUACUCUUAAUCUCUUGGCAGCACUCACUUUGUCCUGAUCAAACCAUGUGAGUGCCACAUAGGACUAUAUUUAUGUCUCUAGACCUUACUGAAUGGUUCUUGCUUAGGCCAUCCUGGACGUUGUGUGUUUCUUUGUGUCACUACACAUCCUGGGACUCUACAACCCAGGAGGAGGCAGGUGGGCAGAGGAAUAGUGGCCAGUUUUCUCUGUAGGCCCUUUCCUCUCUUGUCUUGCCUGCAAAGGGCUGGAAAGUCAGCUUCUAUUGUGAUUAAGUUAUAAUUUAAGGCAGUGAACAUGUGCUCUGCUGGCGGCUAUAAAGAUUCAAAUCAUAAAGUUUUACAGUGGAACGGUUUCUGUAAAAGCAUCGUUAGGAAGUGGGAACCAUGCCUUUAAUUCUUAUGACAUAUGGGACUGCCUGGUUUGUUUUGGUUGCAGUGGAGUUUAGUAGGGUGAUGGUCUGACUAAUUAAAGUCAGGCCUUUUUCCUCACCGCAGUGCUGUGCCCUGUCAGAGGACAAUGUAGUAGGGUGGAACCUUCUCUCUACCUCUGUUCCUAUCUCAAGUUUAUCAGGGACAAAGAACCCUUAGAAAGCAAAAGCAACCCUUCAAUAACUGAGUGUUUUAGAAAUCUCCUCCAUCCUACCAGGCUUCAUUCACUGGGGAGUCCAUGUCUUCCUCUGUCCCUCACUGGCCAAGGGGCAAACCUAGACAAUGAACCAAGCUUAAUGUAAGUUGAUUAUCUCAUUCAGGGAGCUCAGCUGAGGAGAUAGAUGGGCCUUGUAACUGUCAGUGGUAGAAACAAAGAGAAUAGUAGUUGAGUAGCUCUCUUAACCAACUUUCACUUAACAUCCUUGGCUGGUUAACCAUCGCUCUCUAUGCCCUGUGUAAAAUGUACUAGUGCCUGUAGUGUCCUCUCAGGUGAUGGUUACCUUUGAUGUUAUUCUUGAACAAUAUGCCAUCUCACUGCUCCUCCCACCAGCUGAUUUAUAUGCUAACCAAGACCCAGCUAGACUUGGCCCUAAGCCUGUUUAUGCCAGUGGUACCUGCUAUUACAACUGCCCAAUUUCAUUAAAUAUUUUGUAAACUCAACAAUAAAAUUGGAGAGGUGUUUUUUGCUGUUGUUUUAUGAAAGCCAAGUUGAACACGAAAGUGAGUUUUUAAAAUAAUGGCUGCUGAAAGAGCCGUGAGUAAUACUGAUUGAGGCAAAACAUCACAACGAUCUGAGAAUCUGCACUCAAAUUUCUCUAAGUUCUUGUUCUGCUAUAAAAAAAUCUAAAACCAAGAAUUGUAGACAAUGUAUUAUGGGUGUGAUUUAUGCAGGAGAGAUCUGGAAAGCCAGUCAGCGGACACAUUCCUUGGCUUUACAUCAAAAAAUUGGAGAAUGAAUCUACAUUUGUAUAUUUUAAGUUAAAAUAAAAUGUUUGAGGUAAGUAUAUAUCUUUUAAAGUGAUAUUCUGCUUUACAGGACUUUUUGAUAAUCAACCAGUGCGUUGGAUGAGAGGGUUUCCCUGUAAUAAGAUUUAUCAUUUAUUGGUAUCAUUAUUGAGUGUGUUAAAUCUUUGAGGAGGAAGGCAUUGCUAUCCCCAUUUUACAAGUUAGGAAACUGAGGCUUAGAAUAGUUCAGUUGUGCUAGUUCACACAGAGAGGGUGACCACUUCAGGUCCAUUAGCUAAAGAACCAAGAAUAAAUGAAAAGUCUACUGUGGAAUACAGGACCACAUGGAUAUUUGUGUUUGAUCAAAAAAGUAAUUAUAAGUAGAAGCCAGUAGACUGCUGGAAAUAUGCGUUGGUGUCAACACUUUGGAAAAAUGUAACAUUAUCUUCAUUUAUUCAAUCAAUAACUACUGAGUUGCCUACUCUGUGCCAAGCACUGUUCUAUAUUUUGGGGGUAUGGUAAUGAACAGAAUAGACUGGAAACACUGACCUCAUGCAUUGUAGCUUACAUUCUUGUAGAGCUGAACAUGUAUAUAUCAUAUCCCCUAGCACUUCCACCCCUUGGUAUACUCCCUAGAGAAACUCUUGCUCACAUACUCCAAAAGAUGUGUGUACAAGAAUGUUCACAGCAGAAUUGUUCAUAAUAGCAACAAAACAAGGCCUGUAAAUAACCUAUGUGUCCAUUAACAAGAGAAUGGAUUAACAGAUUGUGGUGUAUUUAUAUAACUGAAUACUAUAAAGAGGUGAAAAUGAAAGCACUAUAACCAUAUGAGUCAACAUAGAGAACUCUUAGAAAUAUAAUAUUGAGGGAUGCCUGCAGGGGCUCAGUGGUUGAGUGUCUGUCUUAGUCUUAGGCUGUGAUCCCAGGGUCCUGCGAUCGAGUCCCACACCGGGCUCCCUGCAAGGAACCUGCUUCUCCCUCUGCUUAUGUCUCUACCUCUCUCUGUGUGUCUCUAAUGAAUAAAUAAAUAAAAUCUUUAAAAAUAUAUAUAAUAUUGAGUAAAACAAAAUAAAAACAGUUGCAAAAGAACACACACAAGUCUGGGAAGGGAUAAGAGAGGUAGGGAGAUGGGAUCCAGAAGAUGCACAUAACUAUUAGUGGUUAUGUUCUAUUUAAGUUUGGAUCAUGGUUCACAAAUGUUCAUUUUAUUAUUAUGUUUCAUAUCUUCAGGUCAUAUCUUCAUAUCAUAUAGGAUAUAUCUGUAUAAUAUAUCUUUGUACCAUACAAUUCAUAUAAUAUUUAAUAAAAUGUGAGUGCCUGAACAAAGAAGAAAAAGUAGAAAAGUAUAGAGAUUAAAGUCAAAGGUCUUGGAGCACCUAGCUGGUGCUCAGUCAGUAGAGCAUGUGACUCUUGAUCUUGGGGUCAUAAUUUCAAGCCCAAUGUUGGACACAGAGCUUACUUCCAAAAAAGAAAAA
rnacentral:lncRNA from 1 species